GUCAGUGCCGCGACACUUUGGAUCCUGUUCAACCUGCAGGAAAGUCGGAUCAGCCAGUGUACCGAGUGUGACUGACACCUGUCACUGUAGCCGAGGUGUGUCUGGGCAUGAGGCAGCCAUGGUCUAGCAGCCUGACUCUGACGGUUCACCACACCUCAGCUGAAGUCUUCAGUGUGCAUCAAAAGGCACACAGGCACACCCUUUGCAUCAGUUGUCAAAGAAGUGGGUUGAAAGUCUGAUCCGACUCAGGAGACCUGCUGGUUUUCACACGAGCCAUCUCAUCAGGGAGUAAUGUACACAAGGGACCUGAAGGAAGCAUCGAGCAUUGCACUGGACACACCUGAGCUGAAACCAACCACCAACAUGUUCUUGUACUUGCUUUUUGUUGACAUGUCUUUUGGGUUGCAAGACACCAAACGCUAUGUAUUAUAAACACAUUUGCUGCAAACAAAUGAUAAGAAAGAAAAGUAGAGCAAA